rnacentral:tRNA from 1 species
GGCUCCGUAGCUCAAUGGAUAGAGCAAUUGCCUUCUAAGCAAUAGGUUACUGGUUCGAUCCCAGUCGGAGUCA